CCCCAACAAAUCACAUCACCCAAAGAACACCAUCAACACAGUGAAACAUGGUGAUGACAGCAUCAUGCUGUGGGGAUGUUUUUCAGCAGGGGCUGGGAAACUGGUCAGAAUUGAGGGAAAGAUGGUGCUAAAUACAGGGAUAUUCUUGAGCAAAACCUGUACCACUCUGUGCGUGAUUUGAGGCUAACAUGGAGGUUCACCUUCCAGCAGGACAAUGACCCCAAACACACUGCUAA